rnacentral:rRNA from 1 species
UAAGGAAUAUUGGUCAAUGGACGAAAGUCUGAACCAGCCAUGCCGCGUGGAGGAUGAAGGUCCUCUGGAUUGUAAACUUCUUUUAUCUGGGACGAAAAAAGGGAAUUCUUUUCCGACUGACGGUACCAGAUGAAUAAGCACCGGCUAACUCCGUGCCAGCAGCCGCGGUAAUACGGAGGGUGCAAGCGUUAUCCGGAUUCACUGGGUUUAAAGGGUGCGUAGGUGGGUUGGUAAGUCAGUGGUGAAAUCUCCGAGCUUAACUCGGAAACUGCCAUUGAUACUAUCAGUCUUGAAUACCGUGGAGGUCAGUAGAAUAUGUCAUGUAGCGGUGAAAUGCUUAGAUAUGACAUAGAAUACCGAUUGCGAAGGCAGCUGGCUACACGAAUAUUGACACUCAGGCACGAAAGCGUGGGGAUCAAACAGGAUUAGAUACCCCUGUAGUCC